rnacentral:rRNA from 1 species
UACGUAGGGCGCAAGCGUUGUCCGGAAUUAUUGGGCGUAAAGAGCUCGUAGGCGGCUUGUCACGUCGAUUGUGAAAGCCCGAGGCUUAACCUCGGGUCUGCAGUCGAUACGGGCUAGCUAGAGUGUGGUAGGGGAGAUCGGAAUUCCUGGUGUAGCGGUGAAAUGCGCAGAUAUCAGGAGGAACACCGGUGGCGAAGGCGGGUCGCUGGGCCGAUACUGACGCUGAGGAGCGAAAGCGUGGGGAGCGAACAGG